GUAGAGAGCUGGGCACACGUCAGCAACUUAAUACAUACUUGCUAAUUCAUAUUGUCUCUCUCUCUCUCCUUCUCCGACAGGGGCACCACCAACACUUAAGCCUCCAUCUUCAGGCAAGAAAGUCUGUGAUAUGAAUGAAGGGAUGAGAAAACCAAUGCUCCGAUGAGUGCAGUGACUUCCCAUGCCUGUGGAGAGUCUAUGCCUUUGAUUGGAUCCCCAGAGGUGGUUUUCACUUGCCCCCCAUUGCCUAUACCAUGUUGCCUUCCUGGAGUUGGUGGCCUUUGAGCUGGGCCUGGAAGAUUGGGUAGGACUUUAUGAAGUGGGGAUGGAGAGACAAGCUGUGCGAUGGGGAUGAAGAAGAUAACCCAGGUCAGAGGGAACAGCAUAAGCAAAGGUAUGUGAAGGGGAAAGAAUUCAACACCUCCAGGCAAUGGUGAGGAUGUCGCUGAGUUCUCUUUCACUUAUCUGCAUGUCAGUCAUGACCCCUGGAUGCCAGCUCCUGAUGGGUCAUCUGCCUACCCUAGAACUUCCCAGCAUCUAGCAUCCCAGACCUUCCCAGAGUCUACAAGAAAAGAAACCUAGGCAUCAGGAUGUCAGUUCUGGUCUGAGUCCUGUCCUCUGCUGACUUUACACCAGCACAAUCUAGCAGGGAGACUUAAUGUCUUCUCCUCCCAGCUUCCUGGUACAGUGUAAGAAAGUAAGCUUGCAGAUGCAAAUGCUUGUGGCUCUUCAUUGACCAGAGGCUAUAUUAGGGGAGAGGACUUCCCUGGGACCCCCACAGGGCCUGGAAAACCCCUCUGGCCCUGACUUGCUCCACCCCUUGGCUCUUGACCCAUUUCUCUCUUGGGUAACUCCUGAGUCUCCUCACCAUGUCCAGUUUGGAAGACUUUAGGCACAAGGACCUCGUCUUUUCCUUCAGAUCUUGGCUCAACCAAGAGGCGGACUCACCGUGAUGUGAAUGCAGCUUGAGCAUCCAGGACUCUCCCCAGAUCCAGGGAGGGCCUCAGCGAUGUGUUCACGUUGUCAUAUUUUUAUAAAAUUUGCAAAGGUAAGAUACUUUAACCACAAUCAAAAUUACUAUUUUCUUCCCACUCCAACUUCCCUUGUGUUUCAAUUUUCCUUUAUGUGGGAUAAUUGGAGUGGCCAUGGGCACUUCUGGGAUCUGACCAAGGGGAAGCUGAGUGGGGGACUGAUUUGAGUUGGGUUCACUGGGAUAUGUUUAUGUGGUUUUCUGAAACAGAGGAUAUAUUAAUAUUUAUGUGGUUCUCUGUGUAUAGAUAAAUCAUUGCUAGUAAUCUCUGUGUAGAGAAUAGCUUCUAGGAAUUCUACCCACUGCCCAGCUCACUUGGCAUGGUGAUAUUAAGUUGCCAUAUGCAGAGGUCAUAUCGUGAUAUGAAUGUGUGUCAUGGCACCCAGCCCAGGAAGUAUAUGGGCAGUAGACAAGAAACAGGAGAAACCAGGUUUGAAAUGUACAGAGCCAGAAGCUAGUCUGUGGAAAAUUCUUCUAAUCAUCAGGGGGAGAAAAUGUGUCUCAGAGGUUAAGCAGGGCAGUUAAUAAAAGUAUUACGCAUUUUGGGGGGAUUGUGUGAUGUAUCUGUUUUGAUUUCUUUUCUCAUUAUAGGUAAAUAUAGGUACCUUGUACCUAAUUUUAUAUUCAUAAUUUUGUAUAUUUUUCUUAAAGAGGGCUCCUCAAAUUAUAAAACCUUCAGUUCCCACAAGGUCUACACAUCCAACCUUGGCUCCAUCAUUUAUUUUCUGUGUGAUCUUGGGGAAGUCACUUGUGCUUUCUGAGCCAGUUUCCUCUUCUAUAAAAUGUGAA
rnacentral:lncRNA from 1 species